GUACCGUGAGGGAAAGGCGAAAAGAACCCCGGCGAGGGGAGUGAAAAAGAACCUGAAACCGUGUACGUACAAGCAGUGGGAGCACGCUUAGGCGUGUGACUGCGUACCUUUUGUAUAAUGGGUCAGCGACUUAUAUUCUGUAGCAAGGUUAACCGAAUAGGGGAGCCGAAGGGAAACCGAGUCUUAACUGGGCGUUAAGUUGCAGGGUAUAGACCCGAAACCCGGUGAUCUAGCCAUGGGCAGGUUGAAGGUUGGGUAACACUAACUGGAGGACCGAACCGACUAAUGUUGAAAAAUUAGCGGAUGACUUGUGGCUGGGGGUGAAAGGCCAAUCAAACCGGGAGAUAGCUGGUUCUCCCCGAAAGCUAUUUAGGUAGCGCCUCGUGAAUUCAUCUCCGGGGGUAGAGCACUGUUUCGGCAAGGGGGUCAUCCCGACUUACCAACCCGAUGCAAACUGCGAAUACCGGAGAAUGUUAUCACGGGAGACACACGGCGGGUGCUAACGUCCGUCGUGAAGAGGGAAACAACCCAGACCGCCAGCUAAGGUCCCAAAGUCAUGGUUAAGUGGGAAACGAUGUGGGAAGGCCCAGACAGCCAGGAUGUUGGCUUAGAAGCAGCCAUCAUUUAAAGAAAGCGUAAUAGCUCACUGGUCGAGUCGGCCUGCGCGGAAGAUGUAACGGGGCUAAACCAUGCAC
rnacentral:rRNA from 1 species